rnacentral:tRNA from 2 species
GGGCCUAUAGCUCAGUUGGUUUAGAGCACACGCCUGAUAAGCGUGAGGUCGGUAGUUCGAAUCUACCUAGGCCCACCA